CGGCGCACGGGUGAGUAACGCGUAUCCAACCUUCCGCACACUAAGGGAUAACCCGUUGAAAGACGGCCUAAUACCUUAUGUCCUCCACGGCAGACAUCUAAUGUGGAGUAAAGAUUCAUCGGUGUGUGAUGGGGAUGCGUCUGAUUAGGCAGUUGGCGGGGUAACGGCCCACCAAACCGACGAUCAGUAGGGGUUCUGAGAGGAAGGUCCCCCACAUUGGAACUGAGACACGGUCCAAACUCC
rnacentral:rRNA from 1 species